UGGAGCGGGCUCGGCAAUUUGCAUCUUUGCUGUUCUCCUUUUAAAAAUGACAGAAAAACACUCCGCAGAGUGGAGCUUGCCCAAGCGGAGCUUCUGCCGACAAAAACAGGGGCACAGAAGUCAGCUUGACAUUCUGCCAAGUGUGGCCCCUCCUGUCUCCUCCUCCAUGCCAAGAAGUAGACUUUAAUCAAUAAGUUUCUGAGAGGGGGCAGUGAGGAAGAGAUUGAAGGAGAAAAAGCACAGAUCUUCUCACCGUGAACAAUUUAGAAAACAUUUCUAUGCACAAAUUCUUGUGCAGGAGUCAUGGAGAUCAAUGAACACACCCUUUAGCGCUUUCUGCUGUCAGUUACAUGGCUCAUUCUCCUUUGACAGACAGAAUAGAGGAAUUCACUGGAAAGGAGAACCACUUCACAGCAACGUUUUACAAGAAGCCUGAUGGUGGGAUGGAGCCCGUCAUUCAUAUUAAUGAGACAUGCAUGGAAGUGGCAAUGAGCAUGUGGAGUGUGGCUAAAAGAAAUGUGGUUCUUCACUUGGAGCUGAUGUGAAACACAGGCAAUCUGUUGGCCUACUGAGAGGAACUUCUUUUAAAAGCCAAGAACAAGAAUACCACCCGAAGACAUCUGUUCCUCUCAUCCUUUAGUGAAGUGCAGAUGGAGAUUCCUAUGUGGUUUUGGUAAGAGGAAUUGGUCAUGCUUAUUAGCCUGGGCAGAUUUAAGUUUCAAAUAAUAAGCUAAAUUGAGAACUAUCAAGAGACCAACAUUUGCAAAAGCUGCACUGUAACCUGAAAAGGGACAUGCCAAUUUUAGAUUAAUUAAAAAGGUUAUUAAAUUGUUCAGAUGGCAUGUUAAUGAGCAAUCUGCAGGGUGCUCAGUCAACAACCACACCUCCCAACCUUAAUUACAGGAUCCUUAUUGAAAAGGAUCUGGGCGAGCCCACAAAGGAGCUAGAAGAACAUCCAUCUUGAAUAUAAUAUGAAUAUGGUCAACCCAGGACAAAUCCCAUGAAGAAAGAUGGUAGUUAAGCUUGUAAUAUAAAUUCUUUCAGAAGAAAGGUAAUGCUGAUUCUAGCCAGCUUCAAGGCACUGAGAUAUUAGAAUUAAUUAGAGAUACAACAGAUAAUGUGCCUUUAUAUUUCGGACCCAAUAGGUUCAAGUGCCUUGUAAUAUUUUACCAACCCAUAUUUUUCCCAAGGCCUGGUGACAAAAUUAGAAGGCUUAAAUGAUUGUUUCUGUUACAUAAGGUUUACAUAAAUUUAUAAAUCAAAACAUUGUAAUAUCUACCACCUAGUUCAGCAUUCAAAUGCCGGAAAAAGAUACUAUCUCUGCCAGGAUGAGUAAUUUUCAAAGUGUGGGCUACAUGGGGCCACUUAAUGACCCUCAGACUGAUCUAUAAUUGCAACUCCCUGCUUUGGUUCUUUUGGGUGAAUUAUCCAUAAAUCCGUAGGCUUUAGUUUAUACAAACAGCCAACGUUUAUUUUCUAGUAAAUUCCUAAACCAAUUGUUAAUGGUUACUAAAAUUUGGCAUUCAUGAACUAAAACUAAGAAGCUCCUAGAAUUUAUUGAGAAAUAUAAUACAAUAUUCUUCUACAAAGUCUACCUCACGGUGCUUGGCAGGGAUGAAAAACUUCUAUUGCAUAUGAGCACUUGCAGAUUACCGGACAUCCCACAAAAUUCUGGAGGGGUGAUUUAUUUUCAUCGUAUCAGAAAUUUUCUCGAGUUGGUCAUGAUUUGAAUAGCUACUAUUAUUCCUUCUGAAUUUAAAAUUACUAUUAUUUUAUUUUUACCUUUAUCAAGGUUGUUUGUUGUGAGUUGUUUGGUUCUUCUUAUACACUGACACGUCUUUAUCAUGAUGCUGUGCUGUGGGCUUUUUUGACCUUUGAUAGUUCAAUAAAUUUCCCCAAACUAGUGUUGCCAGGUCUAGAAAAUAACCAGUUAAAUAUGAAUUUACCUAGACAACAAAUAAUUUUUAAUUUAUGUUUCAAAUAUUACAUGAGAUAUGCUUAUACUAAAAAAAAAAUUUGUUCAUUUGAAUUAAAAUUUAAUUGGGUGUCCUGAAUUCUACCUGGCAACUGCAUUUCAAGCAAUGUUGUAAUUUAUUGAGAAGAGUAAAAAAAAAAAAAGUGGUGAUACAGAGUUUGUCUUAAGUGCCAGAUCAGAUAAGUAUUGGCAGUCAGAAAAGUUCUGAGACUGUCAAGUCUGGUUCAGUCAGGGAAAAAAAAAAAUGACCAUGAUUGAUUAGCGAUGUCUGCCACAGACAAGGCACAAAGAGUCACUGACUUGGGUGCUGAAUUUUUGCUAUCCCUGCCUUAGUGGCUAAAGUAGAACUAUCUUGCAAAGUCCUACUAGCAGCUAUCCAUUGAUUGUGUCACUCCUUUGCUCAAAACCUUAAAAUCCUUUAAUACCUUCCGUUGCUCUUAGGAUAAAGACCAAAGAGAGUUCUUAAUGUUGUUUUCAGAGUGCUAGCUCCUGCCAACUGCUUUAGCAUAGUCUUUUGCCACGUUCCCUGUCACUUUCUGUGUUACAGCCUCCCUGGCCUUGGUAAGUGUCUUUCAUUGCCUGGAAAUCUCUUCAUCUUCUUUACUCAAGUAUCUUCUGCUCAUUCUUUAAAUCCCAGCUCCUCAGGUAAGCUUUCUAACAC